rnacentral:rRNA from 1 species
UACGUAGGGUCCGAGCGUUGUCCGGAAUUAUUGGGCGUAAAGAGCUCGUAGGCGGUGUGUCGCGUCGGCCGUGAAAACUUGCAGCUUAACUGUGAGCUUGCGGUCGAUACGGGCAUCACUAGAGUUCGGCAGGGGAGACUGGAAUUCCUGGUGUAGCGGUGAAAUGCGCAGAUAUCAGGAGGAACACCGGUGGCGAAGGCGGGUCUCUGGGCCGUAACUGACGCUGAGGAGCGAAAGCGUGGGGAGCGAACAGG